UGUUUUAAUUCUAUAACGCCACUUGAC
rnacentral:piRNA from 2 species